rnacentral:lncRNA from 1 species
GGCCAAGGAAAAAGGAGGAUAAAUAUGGAUAAGAAGCUACAAACCAAAAGAAAUAGAGGAGCAAUGGGGAACAAGUGUAAACACAGUCAAAUCACACCCAAAACCUCUAAUUCAAUCCUCUUCUUGACUCCUUUAUUCACAAUUUUUUUUUCACAUUUUUCUGUAUUUUUUUUUCUCUCAUCCUGUCUCUUUUCUUUUCUCUCUAUCUAGGAC